GUGUGGCCCAGACAGGGCACUGUCUGUGGCCCCAGGGGUUGAGGACCCCUGGCUUUAACAACAGAAAGGUACCAUCUUACAGUUCUGGAGGCCAAAGUCUGAUAUCCAGACCCCAGUUACUGGAUUGGGAUCCACCCUCACUCAAUAUGGCCUCAGCUUAAUGAAAGACAUCUGCAGAGACCCUAUUUCUACUAAAAGCCACAUUCUGAGACUUCUCGUGGGCGUGCUUUGGAGGCCAGAGUGCAUGCGUACGGGCCCUGCACACGCUGAAUGUCACUGGGAACAAGGACACACCCCGCUUCCAGGAGAAGAUAGAACAUGUCGACCCCUUUUAGCCAUCCCCAGUGCAGGACAUGCUAUUGACUUCCAUGAGACAAACACCUACUUGGAAAUCAGGUUUUUUCUGUACCUUUUGAAGGAGCAGGAAUUUCCCAGCAUUUCCUGGACAAAGACGGAGGCCACAUUCGCUGCAUCCUUUCCAGCAAGAUGUCAUUCUGAGAUUUUUGUCAUUCCUGGGCGUUAUGAGGACUGCCAAGGGACACAAUUCCAUGGGAGGAAAGUUUUCUUCUAAGCUGCAAGCCAGCUCUGGCUUCUGGAGUUUCUCCUUAGGAUUGCAAGACAGUAGUUCCCUGUCCUUUAGGUCUUCUCCAGAAAUACCUUAAAAUAGCAAAUAAAAUAAGAUAUAAGCAAACAAAACCUGAAG
ensembl:lncRNA SCAT1 S-phase cancer associated transcript 1